rnacentral:lncRNA from 1 species
GAAGGAGAGACAGAGAUCUUCCAUCUGCUGGUUCACUCCCCAAAUGAUCUCAACGGCCAGGGCUGGACCAGGUUGAAGCCAAGAGCCGGAGCUUCUUCCAGCUCUCCCACACAGGUUUUAGAGGCCCAAGCACUUGGGCUUUUCCAGGAGUACUAGCAGGGAGCUGGGUCAGAAGUGGAGCAGCUGGGACUUGAACCAGCGCUCAUUCGGCAUGCUAGUAUUGCAGGUGGCGGCUGUAUCUGCUAUGCCACAAUAUCAGACCCUUCACAGAGCUUUUUCAAGAAAAUAUCACAUGGAAAGGAAAGGAAAAAUGCUUUUUAGGUACCAAAAUAUUACAAAGCUAUAGUGAUUGACACAGUGGUAUAGAGCAGGAAGAGACAAAUAGAUAAUAAGCAGAACUGAGCAGAGAUCAGAAAUAGGCCUGCAAAUACAGGAACUGGUGGAUGAGACAGAGUUUCCUGUAAGUAAAGACUAAUGGAUAAAUGUUGUUGAGACAGUUGGCUCUUCAAGAGGAAAGAAAACAAAGCACUACUUUCUAUUUCAAACCUUUCAUAAAAAAUAAAUUCUAGGUGGAAAAUGCCACUCCCAUUUUUUUUUUUUUUUUUUUUUUUUUUAGAAACAGUAAGGGAGCUUCCGUCUCCUGAUCUUCUCCUCUAGAUGCUUACAUCAGCCAGGGCUGGUUACAGCUGGGAGCCAGAAACUCAAUCUAGGUUUCCCGUUAUGGAGGCCAGGGCCCAACUACUUGAGCCGUCACCUGCUGGCCCAACUACUUGAGCCGUCACCUGCUGCCUCCGAGGAUCUGCAUAGCAGGAAGCCAGAACCGGGAGCCAGAGCUGGGAUGGAUGUCCAGGUCAUCUCGCCUUGUAGCUGGGAGGCCCUGGCUGUGGACUCACCCAUAGGCAAAGGAUCCCUGUGAUUGUGUUCCUAGUCUGACCAUCCUGAUAGAGUUGCUACGUACAGAGGUGACCGCUGUUCUGGAGCCCUAGAACCAUCCCAUCGUCCCAGGUGCUUGUAUGGAUAAAGCAAAGACACUUUUCCCACACAGUAAGUAGCUUAUUGGGUGAUUGACAAGGACGUAGUGAUAUUCCCAAGGGAUAUUCAUGCGAUGUAUCAUUAGGACCUCACUGUGGGUUGUAUAAAUCUAGGAUCAGUACUACUGUUUACACCUUGGUGGAGACCCAAGGCACAAGACGCUGUAUUGACUAAGUAACAAUAGACCAACCUUCCUGAUAUUCCCCAGAAUAGUCCUCACACAUUAAUAUUCCCACCUCACAGCUUAAGUUGGUGCAAGUCCC